rnacentral:rRNA from 1 species
CCUACGGGAGGCAGCAGUAAGGAAUAUUGGUCAAUGGAGGCAACUCUGAACCAGCCAUGCCGCGUGCAGGAUGACGGCCCUAUGGGUUGUAAACUGCUUUUAUACAAGAGAAAACCCUGGUACGUGUACCAGGUUGAUAGUAUUGUAAGAAUAAGCAUCGGCUAACUUCGUGCCAGCAGCCGCGGUAAGACGAAGGAUGCAAGCGUUAUCCGGAUUCAUUGGGUUUAAAGGGUGCGUAGGCGGACUGAUAAGUCAGUGGUGAAAUCUCUUUGCUUAACAAGAAACUGCCAUUGAUACUGUCGGUCUAGAGUAUAGAUGACGUUGGCGGAAUAUGACAUGUAGUGGUGAAAUACUUAGAUAUGUCAUAGAACACCGAUUGCGAAGGCAGCUAACGAAACUAUAACUGACGCUGAGGCACGAAAGUGGNGGGAGUACAACAGAGUAGUAUACCUACGUAGUACGCGACCGUAACGACUAGUAUACUUACGUUGUUGGUCG